rnacentral:rRNA from 1 species
GACAGAGGGUGCGAACGUUGUUCGGAAUUACUGGGCGUAAAGGGCGCGCAGGCGGCUGCUCAAGUCAGGCGUGAAAGGCCUCAGCUCAACUGAGGAAGUGCGCCCGAAACUGCAAGAGCUUGAGUGCCGGAGAGGGUGGCGGAAUUCCCCAAGUAGAGGUGAAAUUCGUAGAUAUGGGGGAGGAACACCGGUGGCGAAGGCGGCCACCUGGACGGUAACUGACGCUGAGACGCGAAAGCGUGGGGAGCAAACAGG